GACAGAGGUGCCAAGCGUUAGGCGGAAUCACUGGGCUUAAAGCGUGUGUAGGCGGAUCGUUAAGUACCUUGUGAAAUCCCACGGCUCAACCGUGGAACUGCUGGGUAUACUGGCGGUCUUGAGCCACCUAGGGGCAACUGGAACAAGCGGUGGAGCGGUGAAAUGCGUAGAUAUCGGGAGGAAUACCAGUGGCGAAAGCGGCACCCUAGCGUUGUUCUGACGCUCAUGUGCGAAAGCGUGGGGAGCAAACGGGG
rnacentral:rRNA from 1 species